rnacentral:rRNA from 1 species
GACAGAGGGUGCAAACGUUAUUCGGAAUUACUGGGCGUAAAGCGAGUGUAGGCGGUCUGAUAAGUCGGGUGUGAAAGCCCUGGGCUCAACCCAGGAAGUGCACUCGAAACUGUCAGGCUAGAGUAUCGGAGAGGUUGGUGGAAUUCUCGGUGUAGAGGUGAAAUUCGUAGAUAUCGAGAGGAACACCGGUGGCGAAGGCGGCCAACUGGACGAAUACUGACGCUGAGACUCGAAAGCGUGGGGAGCAAACAGG